rnacentral:rRNA from 1 species
GCUCCUCCGGUGGAUUGAGCUUGCUUGUUGGAUCGGUGGGAACGGGUGAGAGACGGGAGCAGUGUGCCCUGGAGCGGGGAUAAUCGCUGGAAACGGGGUCAAAUACUGGAUAUGAGGAGUGAUCCUUUGGUCAGCGUCUGGAAAGAUUUUUCGGUCUGGGAUGGGCUCCUUUCCUAUCUUCUUGUUGGUGAGGUAAUGGCUCACCAUUGCGUCCGCCCAUUGCCGGCCUGAGAGGGUGACCGGCCACACUGGGACUGAAACACGGCCCAUACUCCUACGGGAGGCAGCAGUGGGGAAUAUUGCACAAUGGGCGGAAGCCUGAUGCUGCAACGCCGCGUGAGGGAUGACGGCCUUCGGGUUGUAAACCUCUUUUAGCAGGGAAGAAGCGAAAGUGACGGUACCUGUGCAAAAAGCGCCGGCUAACUACCUGCCAGUUGCCGCGUUAAUACCUAUGGCGCAGGCGUUAUCCGGAAUUAUUGGUUCUUCACAUCUCGUAGGCGGUUUGUCGCGGCUGCUGUGAAUGCGCGAGGCUCCACCUCUUCCCUGCAGUGGGUACCGUGAGACUAUACUGCGGUAGGGGAGAUUGUAAUUCCUGGUGUACCGCUGGAAUGCGCAGAUAUCAUGAGGAACACCAAUGGCCAACGCUUAUCUCUGGGACGUAACUGACACUGAGGAGCGAAUGCUUGCCGAGCUUACACGCUUAGUACCCUGGUAGUCCACCACGUAUGCGUUGGCAACUAGUUGUGGGCAUGAUUUCAGGGUUUUCGUGAGGCACAUAACGCAUUAAGAUCUCCGCUUGGGGAGUACAGUCUCAACGCUAACACUCAAGGGAAUUGACUGAGACUCGCACAAUCGGCGCAGACUGCACAUUACUUCUAUGCAACUCUUAAGGACCUUAACAAUGGCGUGAACUACUUCAGCACGGGGCAUACAUGCGUCAGCUCGUUGGACACUGGUCAGCAGCUGUUGCAUGGGUGUCGUCAGCUCGUGCUUCUUACAUGUGGAUAAGUUCACCACCGAAGCACCCUCGCUUCUAUGCUGCAGCACGUAUGGUGUUACUCAUGGGAACAUGACUGCGCUCCAGCUCGCAGCAGUGGAGAUG